rnacentral:rRNA from 1 species
UCAUUCAAGUUUCUGACCUAUCAGCUUUAGACGGUAGGGUAUUGGCCUACCGUGGCUAUGACGGGUAACGGGGAAUUAGGGUUCGAUUCCGGAGAGGGAGCCUGAGAAACGGCUACCACAUCUAAGGAAGGCAGCAAACGCGCAAAUUACCCAAUCCUGACACAGGGAGGUAGGGACAAGAAAUAACAAUACAGGGCCUAACGGUCUUGUAAUUGGAAUGAGUGAAGUAUAAACCCCUUUACGAGUAUCAAUUGGAGGGCAAGUCUGGUGCCAGCAGCCGCGGUAAUUCCAGCUCCAAUAGCGUAUAUUAAAGUUGUUGCAGUUAAAAAGCUCGUAGUUGGAUUUCUGUUGUAUAAUUUUAUAAUAUUACAAAGGUAAUUAUUAUAUUAUCAACAUCCUUCCUAUUAUAUUCUAAAUAUAUAGGAAAUUUUACUUUGAGAAAAUUAGAGUGCUUAAAGCAGGCAACUGCCUUGAAUACUCCAGCAUGGAAUAAUAAGUAAGGACUUUUGUCUUUCUUAUUGGUUCUAGGACAAAAGUAAUGGUUAAUAGGGACAGUUGGGGGCAUUCGUAUUUAACAGCCAGAGGUGAAAUUCUUAGAUUUGUUAAAGACGAACUACUGCGAAAGCAUUUGCCAAGGAUGUUUUCAUUAAUCAAGAACGAAAGUUAGGGGAUCGAAGACGAUCAGA